rnacentral:rRNA from 1 species
AAGUCGAGCGAACUGAUUAGAAGCUUGCUUCUAUGACGUUAGCGGCGGACGGGUGAGUAACACGUGGGCAACCUGCCUGUAAGACUGGGAUAACUUCGGGAAACCGAAGCUAAUACCGGAUAGGAUCUUCUCCUUCAUGGGAGAUGAUUGAAAGAUGGUUUCGGCUAUCACUUACAGAUGGGCCCGCGGUGCAUUAGCUAGUUGGUGAGGUAACGGCUCACCAAGGCCACGAUGCAUAGCCGACCUGAGAGGGUGAUCGGCCACACUGGGACUGAGACACGGCCCAGACUCCUACGGGAGGCAGCAGUAGGGAAUCUUCCGCAAUGGACGAAAGUCUGACGGAGCAACGCCGCGUGAGUGAUGAAGGCUUUCGGGUCGUAAAACUCUGUUGUUAGGGAAGAACAAGUACAAGAGUAACUGCUUGUACCUUGACGGUACCUAACCAGAAAGCCACGGCUAACUACGUGCCAGCAGCCGCGGUAAUACGUAGGUGGCAAGCGUUAUCCGGAAUUAUUGGGCGUAAAGCGCGCGCAGGCGGUUUCUUAAGUCUGAUGUGAAAGCCCACGGCUCAACCGUGGAGGGUCAUUGGAAACUGGGGAACUUGAGUGCAGAAGAGAAAAGCGGAAUUCCACGUGUAGCGGUGAAAUGCGUAGAGAUGUGGAGGAACACCAGUGGCGAAGGCGGCUUUUUGGUCUGUAACUGACGCUGAGGCGCGAAAGCGUGGGGAGCAAACAGGAUUAGAUACCCUG